GAUGAACGCUGGCGGCGUGCCUAAUACAUGCAAGUCGAGCGAACAGACGAGGAGCUUGCUCCUCUGACGUUAGCGGCGGACGGGUGAGUAACACGUGGAUAACCUACCUAUAAGACUGGGAUAACUUCGGGAAACCGGAGCUAAUACCGGAUAAUAUAUUGAACCGCAUGGUUCAAUAGUGAAAGACGGUUUUGCUGUCACUUAUAGAUGGAUCCGCGCCGCAUUAGCUAGUUGGUAAGGUAACGGCUUACCAAGGCGACGAUGCGUAGCCGACCUGAGAGGGUGAUCGGCCACACUGGAACUGAGACACGGUCCAGACUCCUACGGGAGGCAGCAGUAGGGAAUCUUCCGCAAUAGGCGAAAGCCUGACGGAGCAACGCCGCGUGAGUGAUGAAGGUCUUCGGAUCGUAAAACUCUGUUAUUAGGGAAGAACAAAUGUGUAAGUAACUAUGCACGUCUUGACGGUACCUAAUCAGAAAGCCACGGCUAACUACGUG
rnacentral:rRNA from 1 species